rnacentral:rRNA from 1 species
CCUACGGGAGGCAGCAGUGGGGAAUAUUGCACAAUGGAGGAAACUCUGAUGCAGCAACGCUGCGUGGAGGAUGACGCAUUUCGGUGUGUAAACUCUUUUUAUAUAGGAAGAUAAUGACGGUACUAUAUGAAUAAGCACCGGCUAACUCCGUGCCAGCAGCCGCGGUAAU